rnacentral:pre_miRNA from 1 species
GAGACACCUUUAUUGGGCAACACUUGCUUUAGUGGGGCUUUAGUGCUCACUGAGUCUGCCCCCUGAGUGUAUCCCU